GAGGGUAUAGCUCAAUGGUAGAACACUUGCUUAACAUGCAUGAGGCCCUGGGUUCAAUCCUCUGUGUCCCCC
rnacentral:tRNA from 1 species